UACAGAGGUCCCAAGCGUUGUUCGGAUUCAUUGGGCGUAAAGGGUGCGUAGGCGGUGCCGCAAGUCAGAUGUGAAAUCUCGGGGCUUAACCCCGAAACUGCAUUUGAUACUGCGGUGCUCGAGGACUGGAGAGGAGACUGGAAUUCACGGUGUAGCAGUGAAAUGCGUAGAUAUCGUGAGGAAGGCCAGUGGCGAAGGCGAGUCUCUGGACAGUUCCUGACGCUGAGGAGCGAAAGCGUGGGGAGCAAACAGG
rnacentral:rRNA from 1 species